GAUGAACGCUGGCGGCGUGCCUAAUACAUGCAAGUCGAGCGAACAGAUAAGGAGCUUGCUCCUUUGACGUUAGCGGCGGACGGGUGAGUAACACGUGGGUAACCUACCUAUAAGACUGGGAUAACUUCGGGAAACCGGAGCUAAUACCGGAUAAUAUUUCGAACCGCAUGGUUCGAUAGUGAAAGAUGGUUUUGCUAUCACUUAUAGAUGGACCCGCGCCGUAUUAGCUAGUUGGUAAGGUAACGGCUUACCAAGGCGACGAUACGUAGCCGACCUGAGAGGGUGAUCGGCCACACUGGAACUGAGACACGGUCCAGACUCCUACGGGAGGCAGCAGUAGGGAAUCUUCCGCAAUGGGCGAAAGCCUGACGGAGCAACGCCGCGUGAGUGAUGAAGGUCUGCGGAUCGUAAAACUCUGUUAUUAGGGAAGAACAUACGUGUAAGUAACGGUGCACGUCUUGACGGUACCUAAGCAGAAAGCCACGGCUAACUACGU
rnacentral:rRNA from 1 species